rnacentral:rRNA from 1 species
UUUGCCUACGGGAGGCAGCAGUGGGGAAUAUUGCACAAUGGGGGGAACCCUGAUGCAGCGACGCCGCGUGGGUGAAGAGGUCAUUCGUGACGUAAAGCCCUAUCAGCAGGGAAGAAAAUGACGGUACCUGACUAAGAAGCCCCGGCUAACUACGUGCCAGCAGCCGCGGUAAUACGUAGGGGGCAAGCGUUAUCCGGAUUUACUGGGUGUAAAGGGCGUGCAGCCGGAGAGACAAGUCAGAUGUGAAAUCCGCAGGCUCAACCUGCGAACUGCAUUUGAAACUGUUUCCCUUGAGUAUCGGAGAG